UGGGGGAUAUUGCGCAAUGGGGGAAACCCUGACGCAGCAAUGCCGCGUGAAGGAUGAAGGCCUUCGGGUCGUAAACUUCUGUCUAGAGGGAUGAAAAAAAUGACAGUACCUCUGGAGGAAGCCCCGGCUAACUACGUGCCAGCAGCCGCGGUAAUACGUAGGGGGCAAGCGUUGUCCGGAAUCACUGGGCGUAAAGCGCGCGUAGGUGGUCUAGUAAGUCAGAUGUUAAAAUGCGGGGCUCAACCCCGUAAUGCAUUUGAAACUGCUGGACUUGAGGACAGGAGAGGAAAGUGGAAUUCCUAGUGUAGCGGUGAAAUGCGUAGAUAUUAGGAGGAACACCAGUGGCGAAGGCGACUUUCUGGACUGUACCUGACACUGAGGUGCGAAAGCGUGGGGAGCA
rnacentral:rRNA from 1 species